UACUUCCCUACCUCUGCUUCUCACAGAGUUAACAUUCCUGCUGAUUUCUUCAUAUUCCAAGGGUCAUUUGUGAUAGAACACGUAAACUAGGAAGUGGAAGGGAAGACACCGCGUCCCCUAAAGUGAAUGACAAUGAUCAGCGAAAUACAGAAACUUGGUGCAGGUUUGGCUGGAUUUGGCAUUUUCUUCCUAAUAUUCGGCAUUUUACUCUAUUUUGACAGUGUUCUCUUAGCUUUUGGAAAUAUUUUGUUCCUGUCAGGUCUUGCACUAAUCAUAGGCCUCAGACGGACUUUUAGCUUCUUCUUCCAAAGACAGAAAUUGAGGGGCAGCUCCUUCUUUUUAGGAGGAGCACUGUUGGUCCUUUUCCGAUGGCCACUAAUAGGAAUGCUGUGUGAAUUCUAUGGCUUCAUCAGUCUUUUCAGGGGGUUCUUCCCAUUAGUGUUUGGUUUCCUAGGAUCACUGGCCAAUAUUCCAGUGCUUACCAAGCUUUUCCAGAGCCUGGCCGGAGGUGAUACCACCAUGGUAUAAACACAAUAAGAUGACCACAAUUCAAACACACAAGUUCAAGAUUACAAACGGCUAUUACGUCGUAUUGAUCAACAGAGAGUAUGAACCUGGAAACGCUAUCCUGUUGUAGACCGUGCCCACUGUUCGUAUUAAAUACCAGUAAUAAUAAAUAUUCUUCACUGUGCGUUUUCUUAUUAAUUGGAAAAAUUGUUACAGGUCUCAAGAAAAUGUAAAUAUUUGUUACCGAUAUUUCUACAAAUAAACCGACGGGAUAAAUGCUAAUAAAUAUAUGUGGAAUGCAUUUGUUACUAUUCAAUCAUGUCGGGUUAUAUUGUUUUGGUGCUUGUCUGUGAAGAGGAAGUCUCUUCAAGUGCUGAUGUCACCUGGUCAGGAUAUAUAAGACAGACAUCUAGCGUACACGAGAACAAGAAGGAGUAUGCAAGAACUGACAAUCAGUGAGCUUGCCAUAAUUCAAGUCACAGGAGGGGAACGUGGACAGGACCAUAACCUAUAACAAAGGUAAGUGUAUGCAAAAUAUUAUAGAUUGUGGAAAGUUAGCGAUGAUAGAAAUGAGCUUCUAUACGCUAUGCAAUUAGCACUACACUUUUGAUCAAUUAGUAUAGGUUAGUUGUAUACAAAGUACAAAGUCAGUACAGAAAUUAUUCAGCUCGGC